rnacentral:misc_RNA from 1 species
AAGGAUCAUUACAAAUCUCUGUGGUGGUGGUGGAGGGGAGUGUUGUGGUGUUUGGUUUGCUGCUGGAAAGGUCAAACUGACCAGCAUCACUUAUUCAUCCACGCACUCAUCCAUCCAUCCCACUCAACAUAUGCACAGGGCCGCAUGGCUCUGAUGUUUACGCUUGUUUGUUUGACAGAUUUACAUGUGACCAAAUUUUGACAACUUUUAACAAUGGAUCUCUUGGCUCUU